AGCAGCCGCGGUAAUUCCAGCUCCAAUAGCGUAUAUUAAAGUUGUUGCAGUUAAAAAGCUCGUAGUUGAAUUUCGAGAUCAAAUUGUUGGUCGUGCCUUGGUACGCACUGGCAUUAUUGGUUUCUCCCUUCUGACGAGCCAUGAUGUCAUUAAUUUGGUGUCUUGGGGAAUCAGGACUGUUACUUUGAAAAAAUUAGAGUGUUUAAAGCAGGCUCACGCUUGAAUACAUUAGCAUGGAAUAAUGAAAUAGGACGUUUGAUUCUAUUUUGUUGGUUUCUAGGAUCGACGUAAUGAUUAAUAGGGAUAGUUGGGGGCAUUAGUAUUCAAUUGUCAGAGGUGAAAUUCUUGGAUUUAUUGAAGACUAACUACUGCGAAAGCAUUUGCCAAGGAUGUUUUCAUUAAUCAGGAACGAAAGUUAGGGGAUCGAAGACGAUCAGGUACCGUCGUAGUCUUAACCAUAAACUAUGCCGACUAGGGAUCGGAUGAUGUAAUUUUUAAUGA
rnacentral:rRNA from 1 species